UGCCAGCAGCCGCGUAAUACGGAGGGUGCAAGCGUUAAUCGGAAUUACUGGGCGUAAAGCGCGUGUAGGCGGUUUGGUAAGUGUGAUGUGAAAGCCCAGGGCUCAACCUUGGAACCGCAUCACAUACUACCAGGCUAGAGUACGGUAGAGGGGGGUAGAAUUCCAUGUGUAGCGGUGAAAUGCGUAGAGAUGUGGAGGAAUACCAGUGGCGAAGGCGGCCCCCUGGAUCGAUACUGACGCUGAGGUGCGAAAGCGUGGGGAACAAACAGGAUUAGAUA
rnacentral:rRNA from 1 species